rnacentral:rRNA from 1 species
AGCUCUUAGUGGAGGGUCACUCAGCUCAUGCGUUGAUGAAGAACACAGCUAGCUGCGAGAAUUUAUGUGAAUUGCAGGACACAUUGAUCAUCAACACUUCAAACACGCUUGCAGCCCUGGGUUCCUCCCAGGGCUAUGCCUGACUGAGCAUUA